rnacentral:misc_RNA from 1 species
AAGUCGUAACAAGGUUUCCGUAGGUGAACCUGCGGAAGGAUCAUUAUUGAAUAUUCUUGAUGGGUUGUAGCUGGCUCUUAGGGGCAUGUGCACACUUGUCUUGACUUUAUUCAUCCACCUGUGCACCCUUUGUAGUCUUGGGGGUUGAGAGCAGUCGACUAUCGGAUGGCUAUGGCUUUUCCGGACAUGAGGAUUGCUGAGUGCGCAAGCAUACAGCUCUUCUCAAAUGGCUUGCAAAACCUCUCCCUCGAGUACUAUGUAUUCAUAUACCACAUAGUAUGUUGAAGAAUGUGAUCAAUGGGCCUAUGUGCCUAUAACAAUCAUAUACAACUUUCAGCAACGGAUCUCUUGGCUCUC